rnacentral:rRNA from 1 species
GACGUAGGGGGCCAGCGUUGUUCGGAAUUACUGGGGGUAAAGGGUUCGUAGGCGGUGUGGCAAGUCGGGAGUGAAAUCUCUGGGCUCAACUCAGAGACUGCUUCCGAAACUGCUGUGCUGGAGUGUGGGAGAGGCGCGUGGAAUUGCAGGUGUAGCGGUGAAAUGCGUAGAUAUCUGCAGGAACACCCGUGGCGAAAGCGGCGCGCUGGACCACUACUGACGCUGAGGAACGAAAGCUAGGGGAGCAAACAGG